rnacentral:rRNA from 1 species
UACGAAGGGGGCUAGCGUUGCUCGGAAUCACUGGGCGUAAAGCGCACGUAGGCGGCUUCUUAAGUCAGGGGUGAAAUCCUGGAGCUCAACUCCAGAACUGCCUUUGAUACUGAGGAGCUUGGAGUCCGGGAGAGGUGAGUGGAACUGCGAGUGUAGAGGUGAAAUUCGUAGAUAUUCGCAAGAACACCAGUGGCGAAGGCGGCUCACUGGCCCGGUACUGACGCUGAGGUGGGAAAGCGUGGGGAGCAAACAGG